CCUACGGGAGGCAGCAGUGGGGAAUAUUGCGCAAUGGGGGAAACCCUGACGCAGCAACGCCGCGUGAGUGAGGAAGGACUUCGGUCUGUAAAGCUCUGUUAAUGUGGAAAAAUGGUAGCUGGUCUAAUAGGCCGGCUAUUUGAUGGUACACAUAGAGGAAGCACCGGCUAACUUCGUGCCAGCAGCCGCGGUAAUACGAAGGGUGCAAGCGUUGUUCGGAUUUAUUGGGCGUAAAGCGCGCGUAGGCGGACCUGUAAGUCAGAUGUGAAAUCUCGGGGCUCAACCUCGAAACUGCGUCUGAAACUGCAGGUCUAGAAUCUCGGAGGGGGAAGGGGAAUUUCGCAUGUAGGGGUAAAAUCCGUAGAUAUGCGAAGGAACACCAGAGGCGAAGGCGCCUUCCUGGACGAGUAUUGACGCUGAGGCGCGAAAGCGUGGGGAUCAAACAGGAUUAGAUACCCCAGUAGUC
rnacentral:rRNA from 1 species